rnacentral:rRNA from 1 species
AUUAUCAUGCUAGUUUAAAAUCACAUAUCACAAUACUUAAUAAACUAAAACAUUUUCACCAAUCCAAGUAUAGGCGAUAGAAAAGAUAUACACAUACUACAGAAAAAGUACCGCAGGGGAAAGCUGAAAAAGAAAUUAAACAAACCAUUAAAAUAAAAUAAAGCAAGAAUUAACUUCUGUACCUUUUGCAUCAUGGUCUAACAAGUCUACAUAAAGCAAAACGAACUUAAGUUUUACAUCCCGAAACUAGACGAGCUAUUUAAAAGCAAUUUAUAUAAGAAUUAAUCCGUCUCUGUGGCAAAAGAGUGGAAAGACUUUUAAAUAGAAGCAAAAUACCUAACGAGCCUAGUGAUAGCUGGUUGCUCAUUAAACGAGUUUUAGCUCAAACUUAAACCUUAUUAUAAUAAAAACUCAUUAUUAAUAAAAACUUAAGAGAUAUUCAAAAAGGGGACAGCCUUCUUGAAAUAGGAUACAACCUUCAACAAAGGGUAAUGAUCAUAACAUACAAAGGCCAUACCAUCCUAGUAGGCCUAAAAGCAGCCAUCUUACAUUAAACGCGUCACAGCAUAAACCAUUACAACCCCAAAAAUAAUGACAAUAACUCAAAACCCUAAAAACCAAAUGAGCUAUACUAUAAUAUAUAUUAAAACCAAUGUUAGAACUAGUAAUAAGAAAACAUAAUUUUCUCUACCGCAUUAGCAUAAGUCAACACGGAUUAACCACUGACAGUUAUCAAUAACAAGUCCACAAACUUUUAACAAGACACACAACUUAAACACAUUGUUAACCCAACACAGGAAUGCAAACAGAAAGAUUAAAAAAUAAAGAAGGAACUCGGCAAAUUUAGCUUCGCCUGUUUACCAAAAACAUCACCUUUAGCCAACAUACAUAUAUUAAAGGCACUGCCUGCCCAGUGACUCCAAUUAAACGGCCGCGGUAUCCUAACCGUGCAAAGGUAGCAUAAUAACUUGUCUUUUAAAUAAAGACUAGUAUGAACGGCAAGACGAAAGCUUAACUGUCUCCUUUAUCCAAUCAAUGAAACUGAACUUCCUGUACAAAAGCAGGAAUAAACCAAUAAGACGAAAAGACCCUAUGGAACUUAAAACACGUAAUUACUUUUAACAACCAUUAAAAUUCUACCCAUACUGUUUUUGGUUGGGGCAACCAUGGAGAACAAAAAUCCUCCAAGACAUUAACAUUAGUAACACAAAACAAAAGUUCAAAAACUUGACACAAGACCCAAAAAUUUUGAUCAACGAACCAAGCUACCCUAGGGAUAACAGCGCAAUCUUCUCCAAGAGUACUUAUCGCCAAGAAGGUUUACGACCUCGAUGUUGGAUCAGGAUACCCAGAUAAUGUAACCGCUAUCAAAGGUUUGUUUGUUCAACAAUUAAAAUCCUACGUGAUCUGAGUUCAGACCGGAGAAAUCCAGGUCAGUUUCUAUCUAUUUAUUAUUCUUUUCAAUACGCAAGGACCAAAAGAAUAGGACCAAUAUCCACAGACAUGUCCUUAAAAAUAAUAUGAAAUUAAACUCAAUAUAUUACAUAUACCCAACCCUCAAGAAAAUAGGGUUAG